rnacentral:rRNA from 1 species
GAUGAACGCUGGCGGCGUGCCUAAUACAUGCAAGUCGAGCGAACAGAUGAGGAGCUUGCUCCUCUGACGUUAGCGGCGGACGGGUGAGUAACACGUGGAUAACCUACCUAUAAGACUGGGAUAACUUCGGGAAACCGGAGCUAAUACCGGAUAAUAUAUUGAACCGCAUGGUUCAAUAGUGAAAGACGGUUUUGCUGUCACUUAUAGAUGGAUCCGCGCCGCAUUAGCUAGUUGGUAAGGUAACGGCUUACCAAGGCAACGAUGAGUAGCCGACCUGAGAGGGUGAUCGGCCACACUGGAACUGAGACACGGUCCAGACUCCUACGGGAGGCAGCAGUAGGGAAUCUUCCGCAAUGGGCGAAAGCCUGACGGAGCAACGCCGCGUGAGUGAUGAAGGUCUUCGGAUCGUAAAACUCUGUUAUUAGGGAAGAACAAAUGUGUAAGUAACUAUGCACGUCUUGACGGUACCUAAUCAGAAAGCCACGGCUAACUACGUG